UUAAAUUGAAGAGUUUGAUCAUGGCUCAGAUUGAACGCUGGCGGCAGGCCUAACACAUGCAAGUCGAACGGUAACAGGAAGCAGCUUGCUGCUUCGCUGACGAGUGGCGGACGGGGGAGUAAUGUCUGGGAAACUGCCUGAUGGAGGGGGAUAACUACUGGAAACGGUAGCUAAUACCGCAUAACGUCGCAAGACCAAAGAGGGGGACCUUCGGGCCUCUUGCCAUCGGAUGUGCCCAGAUGGGAUUAGCUUGUUGGUGGGGUAACGGCUCACCAAGGCGACGAUCCCUAGCUGGUCUGAGAGGAUGACCAGCCACACUGGAACUGAGACACGGUCCAGACUCCUACGGGAGGCAGCAGUGGGGAAUAUUGCACAAUGGGCGCAAGCCUGAUGCAGCCAUGCCGCGUGUAUGAAGAAGGCCUUCGGGUUGUAAAGUACUUUCAGCGGGGAGGAAGGGAGUAAAGCUAAUACCUU
rnacentral:rRNA from 1 species